rnacentral:snRNA from 1 species
AUACUUACCUGGUGCCGGGCCCUCGUUGAUCACUGAGGACGAGCCCCCAGGGAGAGGCGCGGGCAUUGCACUGCGCUCGCGUUGACCCCGCCUGCUACUACCCCAAGCUGGGGAAGAUGGGGCAUGCAAAUUACUUAAAUCCGGUUGAACGCAAGAGAGGGCACACCGCC